rnacentral:misc_RNA from 1 species
CGGAGUUUGAUCUCUCUGGAAUGAAAGUGAUUGUGAACUUAAAACCUCCGGUGAAGAAGCUUCCCGGAAGAGUGAGUUUCUUCUCGAGAUCUAAUUGCAGGGAUUGCACCGCUGUGAGGUCGUUUCUGCACAAGGAAAACCUAAACUACGUUGAAAUUAACGUCGAUGUGUAUCCUAAAAGAGAGAAGGAACUAAUUGAGAGGACCGGAAGUGCUAAUGUGCCGCAGAUAUUUCUGAAUGAUAAGUUGUUAGGUGGACUGGUGGCGUUGAACUCGCUACGGAAUAGCGGGAUGUUGGAGAAGAAAUUUGCAGAAAUGUUGGCCGGAAAAUGCCCGGAGGAUGCACCGGCACCACCGGUUUACGGUUUCGACGACGAUUACGAGGAGCAAAACGACGAAAUGGUAGAUAUUGUAAGAGUAUUGAGGCAAAAGCUUCCGAUACAGGACAGAAUCAUGAGGAUGAAAAUAGUAAAAAAUUGCUUCUCCGGCGGUGAGCUUGUGGAGGUUCUGAUCCACCACUUGGACUGCGGCAGGAAAAAGGCUGUGGAAAUUGGGAAGAACCUGGCGAGAAGGCAUUUUAUUCACCAAGUCUUUGGAGAAAAUGAAUUUGAAGAUGGAAAACACUUCUAUAGAUUCCUUGAACAUGAGCCUUUUGUUCCCAAAUGCUAUAAUUUUCGAGGAUCCACAAAUGACAAUGAACCCAAGGACGUUG